UACGUAGGGGGCAAGCGUUGUCCGGAAUCAUUGGGCGUAAAGCGCGUGUAGGCGGCCCGGUAAGUCCGCUGUGAAAGUCGGGGGCUCAACCCUCGAAUGCCGGUGGAUACUGUCGGGCUAGAGUGCGGAAGAGGCGAGUGGAAUUCCUGGUGUAGCGGUGAAAUGCGCAGAUAUCAGGAGGAACACCAAUUGCGAAGGCAGCUCGCUGGGACGUGACUGACGCUGAGGCGCGAAAGCGUGGGGAGCAAACAGG
rnacentral:rRNA from 1 species